UACAGAGGGGGCAAGCGUUGUUCGGAAUUACUGGGCGUAAAGGGCGCGUAGGCGGCCUGCUAAGUCGAACGUGAAAUCCCUGGGCUCAACCCAGGAACUGCGUCCGAUACUGGUUGGCUUGAAUCCGGGAGAGGAACGUGGAAUUCCAGGUGUAGCGGUGAAAUGCGUAGAUAUCUGGAGGAACACCGGUGGCGAAGGCGACGUCCUGGACCGGCAUUGACGCUGAGGCGCGAAAGCCAGGGGAGCAAACGGG
rnacentral:rRNA from 1 species